rnacentral:lncRNA from 1 species
GGGGGGAGCCCCCGGGUGGACAUCGGCCCCUUGCCUACGCAGGGCCGCCGCGAGGAUUUUCGGAGGGUCCGCCGCCGGGUCUGGGGAACCCAGCCUUCCAUGCCAAUCUACCGCUAGCUGGAGCUGCCCCAGCCCCGCUGGUCAGGGACCCUGGUUUUCUUUAGAAGAUGCUGUUCAAAAAUCUGCUCAGGUGAAUCUCGACGCCAAAGUGGCACCUUCACUACUGACUUCUCUCCCAGUGACUCUUUUGUCAGCUGUCGUGUCGCUGGAUUUUCACUUUAGGACCUGAACGCAGAACUUACUUACUUCCUACUGUAGAUGGCACUUUUCUCUGAGGACUCAUGCCUCACUCAUUUCUGGAACAAUUUAUGCCGAGGAUCAAGACCAUCUCUCCAGGGCUGUUUCUUUGCCUGAAGAUAAGAGGACACAAGUGGGUGACCUUCACAUUUUUUUCUCUAUGGAAUUGCCUGGUGUAGACAGAAAAACCCAACUGCAAAAACCUAACAAAGCACACCCUGAUGCCAUUCAUUUUAAUCCAGUGUGAAUACAUUCCCAGCUCUUAGCUAGAGGUGCAGAGCCCUAUUUGAAGAACCCACACGGUCUUCCCAAAGGUCAUCCUUUCCUCCGGGUCCCAGCUGUACUGGAGGAAAAUGGGAAUUCCAGCACACCCCAAGAAGGUUCAGAGAAGCUGUUACGACGUUGGAGGAUGAGCUGGGUGAAAAUUAGAUUAUGACCUGGAGCUCUGACUGUAGAAUUGAUUACUAUAAGGUGUUAUAAAACAGCAUUUUUAGGAGAUGAAUAAAACUUUGUAAAGUACUACUGUCAAAUGAUUUAGCAAAAGCAUGUAUUCUCAGGAUGUUAAAAUUGCUGAAAUUGCAAAGCCUGCUCACUAGGUGGGGAUCCAUGCCUGGUCCUGAAGGCUUACUGCUUGUGGCUGGAGAGGACACAGACCCCAGCUGAGAACCUUCUGUUGUUUUCCGAAACCAAUGUAAUUCCUAGCUAUAUUGCAACUACGUACAACCCUAUAUGUGUAGCUAUCACUGCCCAUCAAAGACAGCUCUCUCUGUAGCAGAGAGAAGCUAUUUCAGAGACCCCCAGCUGGUCACAGUGCAGAAGGUAAUUGAGUGUGGGGUUCUCAGCCCCAGCUGGUCCAUCUACACUGUGAGAUCCCUAUGUGAGGCUCAGCCCCAGCUGGUCCAUCUACACUGUGAGAUCCCUAUGUGAGGCUCAGCCCCAGCUGGUCCAUCUACACUGCGAUCCCUGUGUGAGGCUCAGUGAGCAUCAUGGAAGAAGGUGCAGGAUGAUUGUUAGAAUCAGAGGACCUGGACACCUGCUGCUAGACAGUGUCUCCUGGACAUGGCAUGGAUACAGCCCCAUGAAAUCUCACCUACCUGGCUGUCUAAACAAGACCUACCCCAAGACCAACGUGCCGAGGUGGAUGGAGGAAGUUUCACAAGGUACCACUCCUGAAGUGCUACAAGCUAGCAGUGUCUGCUGAGAGAAAGAAUCCAUUUUCUCUGUGACAGGUCCCCGAUACCCAAUCCCAAGUGGUCAAUACACUCUGUAGGUCAUGUGUAGGUGUGAAUGUGUAUGUAUGCAUGUAUAAAACAACAGUUCUAGAGGAGAUUAUGCACUUUGGAGUCAUAGAUACAGGAGGAGCUGGAGAGGGAAGAAGGAGGCAUGGGAAUGAGGUAAAUACAUUUUUAUGUAUGAAGUUCUCAAAAAUUAAAUUUAAAAACUGUCGAAAUUAAAUGAAUGUCCCACUGGAAUUUAGUACUUUUCAUGAUAAAAAUGUUUCAAAAUAAAAAUUUAAAAAAGUU